CUUAGUUUAGACAGAUCGGAUGAGAUGCUAUGACUAUAAGAAAGGGUUGGUGACACACAUACUCCAUCUAUUUUGAAUUAUGGUCCUCAGUGAUUAUAAGCAGUGGCUUUGGGUUGGAGGUUCGUUGGUGCUUAGGGAUGUUGUGUGUGUUCCAAUGGCAGAGUCUUGAAAAGAACAGGUCAUCCAUCUUUCUUUUACGGUGGAGAGGAAAAUUCAAAGGUUGGGUCCAUGGAGAUUUUGCAAAUGGGGUGGACUACUAGACUCGUGGUCGUGGAGGAAGUGCAGUUGAUGGAGUGCGAGGAGCAAAGUCCUUCAGUUUGAGGCAUAUUAGACAAGGUAAAAAAUUAUUAUGAAAAAAGGACCAUACCCGACUGUCGCAUGCCUUUCUUGGAAUAUCUAUCAAGUCUGCAAGGAGAUCAUUUUGUUCCUUCUCAAAGAGAUCAUGUCCUAAUGGGCCAACAAAGGCUUCAUUUAAAGGCUUAUCACUAAAUGAGCUGCGAAGAAAAAGAAAGUAGAAUAAAUUUACAGUGCCGAAGAAUGUCAAUUUAAUUGAAGAAGGAAUCGAUGGAUGUGAUGUGAAAGCAAUGUGAAGCAUUGGCAAAUUAUAUGCAUUUAAAUGUUUCAACUUUCAACUAUAAAAUAAAAUGAUUAAAAUAAAGGUAAAAAAUAAGAGAUCAAGUGGUCAUACUGAGAUUGAAUAAAAAUCUUAAGAUGUUCAACUGCAACAAGACAGUACAAUCUUAAAUGAAUUGUUAAAUA